rnacentral:rRNA from 1 species
UACAGAGGGGGCAAGCGUUGUUCGGAAUUACUGGGCGUAAAGCGUGCGCAGGCGGUUCGACAAGUCCGAUGUGAAAGCCCCGGGCUCAACCUGGGAAUGGCAUUGGAAACUGGCGAGCUUGAGUGUGGCAGAGGGGGGUGGAAUUCCGCGUGUAGCAGUGAAAUGCGUAGAGAUGCGGAGGAACACCGAUGGCGAAGGCAGCCCCCUGGGCUGACACUGACGCUCAGGCACGAAAGCGUGGGGAGCAAACAGG